UACGUAGGGGGCAAGCGUUGUCCGGAAUCAUUGGGCGUAAAGCGCGUGUAGGCGGCCCGCUAAGUCCGCUGUGAAAGUCCAGGGCUCAACCCUGGGAUGCCGGUGGAUACUGUCGGGCUCGAGUCCGGAAGAGGCGAGUGGAAUUCCUGGUGUAGCGGUGAAAUGCGCAGAUAUCAGGAGGAACACCAAUGGCGAAGGCAGCUCGCUGGGACGUGACUGACGCUGAGACGCGAAAGCGUGGGGAGCAAACAGG
rnacentral:rRNA from 1 species